rnacentral:tRNA from 1 species
GGGGCUGUAGCUCAGUGGUAAAGCGCUUGCCUCACAUGUAUGAGGCACCAGGUUCAAUCCUCAGCACCA